UUAGGUGAAUUUCAAAACCCCCCGCUUGCUGGCUUUUCGCACAAGCUCCCUCUUUCUGAAAAUGGCGAAUGAACCACCGUCAUCCUUCUCGUGGCCAUGGUUCCUCCAGGCAGUGCCUCUCUUGGUAGUUGCAUUAAUAGCAGCCCACGUCCUCGCUCUGGUCUACUGGAUUUACAGAUUAGCGACCGAGAAACAGCCUCAAAGGAGGAAAGCACAUUAAGGAACGCCUGAUUUGGAUGCAGAAAGAUGAAGAAGACUUUUAUCACGUGUGAAUCGAUGGUUGAUACGGUUGAAGCAAAGCGAACUGAGACCAAACGGAGUUGUUCUCGGAUCUUGGUUGUUGAAAUUCUUAGAGGACUUGAUUUGUAUUAGUUUUUAUUAUUUUUCUGUUGAUUAAUGUAGUUUUAGGAAGUAGUCGCCGUAACACUCGCUCGUUUGUCCGUGUUUUAAGGUUAUUUCCUCGUAUACUUGCUUAGGUUCAGUUUGGUUGCUGAGAAAUUAGGGUCUAUCAGUUUCUUUUACAGACUAAUAUUUUUUACAAACUUUUUAGAGUAGUUCCGCGAUAUGGUCCGUUUGGUAGCCGAGAAAAUUGCAACGGGAAAAAAUGUCAUGCAGCAAAUAUGGAUUUUUAUGUAUCGCAUCCUUAAGUAUUCCAAGCUUACUCGAGGUUUGUUGUACUAA